rnacentral:lncRNA from 1 species
AGUUGUGUUGUGUAGCGUUGUUGGAUUUCUUUUCUUUCUUUAUCCUUGUAUUUUUAAAGUUAUCUUGUAAUUAUUAAAUGUAUAGUUACGUUGGUGCAAUGUUAUUGGAAUUUGCUGGUGUUUAUGUGCUCUUUGAAAUCGUCAUAGAUACUUUUGAGUUGUUUAUUAGAUUUGAGAUAUAAAUAAAUCAUGUUUUGGUAGUAUACUAGAUUUGAUAUAUAUAUAUUGGUGUUUU